CUCCAGUUAAGCUACGGUGGUUGUGGAGUCUGCGGUGGUUGUGGUGUCCGGUGCGGUGCUUGUGGUCCUCAGCGCAAGCUAGGAAGCGUCCAUCAACAGAAGGUACUCAGUCGGAGUACGGAGAGUUCCGUUACACACCUCUCACAGACACUGGCACUGAAGUUUCGUUGUGCAUUGUAGACAGCAUGAAUACAUCCUUCCUAUCGGUGAAGCGAAGGGCAAGCAACUCAUCC